GGGGAAUAUUGCACAAUGGGCGAAAGCCUGAUGCAGCAACGCCGCGUGAGUGAUGAAGGCCUUCGGGUUGUAAAGCUCUGUCUUCUGGGACGAUAAUGACGGUACCAGAGGAGGAAGCCACGGCUAACUACGUGCCAGCAGCCGCGGUAAUACGUAGGGGGCAAGCGUUGUCCGGAUUUACUGGGUGUAAAGGGCGCGCAGGCGGAAUGGAAAGUCAGUGGUGAAAUCCUACAGCUUAACUGUAGAACUGCCUUUGAUACUUUCAUUCUUGAGUUCGGGAGAGAGAGACGGAAUUCCAGGUGUAGUGGUGAAAUACGUAGAUAUCUGGAAGAACACCAGUUGCGAAGGCGGUCUCUUGGUCCGAUACUGACGCUGAGGCGCGAAAGCGUGGGGAGCAAACA
rnacentral:rRNA from 1 species